rnacentral:rRNA from 1 species
AUGAACGCUAGCUACAGGCUUAACACAUGCAAGUCGAGGGGCAGCAUGGAGGUAGCUUGCUACCUUGAUGGCGACCGGCGCACGGGUGAGUAACGCGUAUCCAACCUGGCCCUUAGUAGGGGAUAGCCCGGCGAAAGUCGGAUUAAUACCCUAUGUUAUCCGAAGCUGACAUCAGACUUGGAUCAAAGAUUAAUCGCUAAGGGAUGGGGAUGCGUCUGAUUAGCUUGAUGGCGGGGUAACGGCCCACCAUGGCCACGAUCAGUAGGGGUUCUGAGAGGAAGGUCCCCCACAUUGGAACUGAGACACGGUCCAAACUCCUACGGGAGGCAGCAGUGAGGAAUAUUGGUCAAUGGUCGCGAGACUGAACCAGCCAAGUAGCGUGCAGGAAGACGGCCCUAUGGGUUGUAAACUGCUUUUAUGCGGGGAUAAAGUGGGCCACGUGUGGCCCUUUGCAGGUACCGCAUGAAUAAGGACCGGCUAAUUCCGUGCCAGCAGCGGC